AUUGAACGCUGGCGGCAGGCCUAACACAUGCAAGUCGAACGGAGUGGAGGACGGGUGAGUAAUGUCUGGGCACCUGCCUGAUGGAGGGGGCUAACUACUGGAAACGGUAGCUAAUACCGCAUACUCUACGCUGAGCCUAGGUCGGAUUAGCUAGUUGGUGGGGUAAAGGCCUACCACGGCGACGAUCCGUAACUGGUCUGAGAGGAUGAUCAGGCAAACUGGAAAUGAGACACGGGCCAGACUCCUACGGGAGGCAGCAGUGGGGAAUAUUGGGCAAUGGGAGAAAGUCUGACCCAGCCAUGCCGCGUGAGUGAAGAAGGUUUUCGGAGUGUAAAACACUGUAAGUUGGGAAGCGUUACCAACAGAGUAAGCACCGGCUAACUUCGUGCCAGCAGCCGCGGUAAUAC
rnacentral:rRNA from 1 species